GUGAAUCAUCAAAUUUUUGAACGCAAAUUGCACUCUCCUCGGAGAGUAUGCCUGCUUGAGGGUCAGCCUAUAAAAAAUCGACAUCGUUGCUGUCUCGCGGUGGCGUUCGUCGGAAAUUGGGUCAUCUUAAAUCCUUUUGGUUUUUAAGCGACUUAAAAUUUUCUUUUUGGUUCCAUGAACGUUUCUAAGAUUUAUUUCUUUACACGUUCACGGACUCGCACUAUAUUAGACGUCAAACUCAUACAAACU
rnacentral:misc_RNA from 1 species